AGGACCCGUCUUGAAACACGGACCAAGGAGUCUAACAUGUGCGCGAGUCAUUGGGACUGUAAAGCCUAAAGGCGCAAUGAAAGUGAAGGUCGUCCUUAGCGUCGACCGAGGGAGGACGGCUCGCGUCACGAUGCGAGCCCGCACUCCCGGGGCGUCUCAUGCUCAUUACGAGCAGAGGCGCACCCAGAGCGUACACGUUGGGACCCGAAAGAUGGUGAACUAUGCCUGGUCAGGACGAAGUCAGGGGAAACCCUGAUGGAGGUCCGUAGCGAUUCUGACGUGCAAAUCGAUCGUCGGAACUGGGUAUAGGGGCGAAAGACUAAUCGAACCAUCUAGUAGCUGGUUCCCUCCGAAGUUUCCCUCAGGAUAGCUGGCACUCGCUUGAGCGAGUCUCAUCUGGUAAAGCGAAUGAUUAGAGGCCUUGGGGCCGAAACGACCUCAACCUAUUCUCAAACUUUAAAUGGGUGAGAUCUCUGGCUUGCUUGAACGUUGAAGCCACGAGAUGCGAUUUUCGGAUCGCAAUGGAUCAGAGUGCCAAGUGGGCCAAUUUUGGUAAGCAGAACUGGCGCUGUGGG
rnacentral:rRNA from 1 species